UCGAAUGAAUGUAUGUAAAUGCUGUGGAACAGUGCUCAUGUAAUAAUGUAGUCACAUUAUUGACUACAUUAUUACAUGAGCAGUGUUCCACAGCAUUUGAUAUUUUCAUUUAUACACAUUGACU